CUGCCCUUGGCCGGCCUGCACACUGUCAUCAUGUCAGCACCAAGAGGAGCUCCAAGUCGCCUGGGGGAACAGGGAUGCACACUUGAUGACUCCUGUUUCUAUGGAAAGAAGAACCUGGGUCUACUAGUUCCGUGUUCUUGAUGAAGGUGGUUCUCCUCUCUUCUUGGUCAGCCCACCUCUUCAGAAACCCAGAGAGAUUUCUGAGGAGGUUGGCAGCUUGAACCUGGAGCCUGAACCAAAGAAGCUGUCUCUUUGACCCCCUCCCCAACUCCCUCCUCUCUGCCCCAGGCCCGGGAUCUGGGCUAUCCAGGGUUCAGGGGAAAGGAGAGCCUCUGUGACCCUCCCUCAGCACUGCUGAGACCUCUAAGUCUCCAUGUUCUGGGAGGCAUUAGGGGGUUAAUUUUCUCUGACAUUUUUUCACCCCAUUGGAUGCACCAGUUCAGCUGGAGGGUAAACAGAGAGCACUGGUCUCUUUUUGAUGUCCUGGGAGCUUGUGUGUGUUUGUUGUGUUUGUUGCCUGUCACCAACACAGAUGGUGAAAUGGGCCAGAUGUAAAGGACGACAGCGGCCACAAGAUGCUGGGGAGCUUUGCUGGGGGUUGGAUGACCACACACUUCAUUCCACAUCUGAACCACUCUCACCCGCAAGUCAGAGUAUUAAGCAGAGAGCCCCCCUGCGCCCCCAGAGAGCUGGAGACGUUUUCUGGCAGAGAAGCCCAGAGCACCGGCAAGCUGCUUCGAGAAGUUCCUCUGUGUCUUCCCAGUCUCCACCCUGGGCGAGUCUGUGGCUGAGAAGCUGGCCUGCUCCAGCUGUAGGGGAGGCAAAUUCUAAACCUCAGGUGCCCCCGUCACCCCUGCCCAGUGAUCAGAUCAGUGCUCUGUGGCUUCUCCCCCAACUAACAUCUCCCCUGACCACGCAAGGCGAGUUUUAAUCCCGAUUUGCUG